rnacentral:rRNA from 1 species
AUAUCAAUAAGCGGAGGAAAAGAAACUAUCAAGGAUUCCCCUAGUAACGGCGAGUGAAGCGGGAAGAGCUCAAAUUUGUAAUCUGGCUGUCAUGCAGUCCGAGUUGUAACCUAAAGAAGCGUUAUCUGUGCUGGACCACAUAUGAGUCUGUUGGAAUAUAGCGUCAUAGAGGGUGAGAACCCCGUUCAUGAUGUGGACUACCAGUGCUUUGUGUUACACUUUCAAAGAGUCGAGUUGUUUGGGAAUGCAGCUCAAAUUGGGUGGUAAAUUCCAUCUAAAGCUAAAUAUUGGCGGGAGACCGAUAGCGCACAAGUA